CUGAUCUAGCCAUGCCGCGCGAGUGAUGAAGGCCCUAGGGUCGUAAAGCUCUUUCAACUGUGAAGAUAAUGACGGUAGCAGUAGAAGAAACCCCGGCUAACUCCGUGCCAGCAGCCGCGGUAAUACGGAGGGGGUUAGCGUUGUUCGGAAUUACUGGGCGUAAAGCGUACGUAGGCGGAUUAAUAAGUUAGAGGUGAAAUCCCAGGGCUCAACCCUGGAACUGCCUUUAAAACUGUUAGUCUUGAGAUCGAGAGAGGUGAGUGGAAUUCCAAGUGUAGAGGUGAAAUUCGUAGAUAUUUGGAGGAACACCAGUGGCGAAGGCGGCUCACUGGCUCGAUACUGACGCUGAGGUACGAAAGUGUGGGGAGCAAACAGGAUUAGAUACCCUGGUAGUCCACACCGUAAACGAUGAAUGCCAGACGUCAGCAAGCAUGCUUGUUGGUGUCACACCUAACGGAUUAAGCAUUCCGCCUGGGGAGUACGGUCGCAAGAUUAAAACUCAAAGGAAUUGACGGGGGCCCGCACAAGCGGUGGAGCAUGUGGUUUAAUUCGACGCAACGCGCAGAACCUUACCAACCCUUGACAUACUUGUCGCGGAUUCCAGAGAUGGAUUCCUUCAGUUCGGCUGGACAAUGUACAGGUGCUGCAUGGCUGUCGUCAGCUCGUGUCGUGAGAUGUUCGGUUAAGUCCGGCAACGAGCGCAACCCACGUCCUUAGUUACCAGCAUUUAGUUGGGUACCCUAAGGAGACUGCCGGUGAUAAGCCGGAGGAAGGUGUGGACGACGUCAAGUCAUCAUGGCCCUUACGGGUUGGGCUACACACGUGCUACAAUGGCAUCUACAGUGAGUUAAUCUCCAAAAGAUGUCUCAGUUCGGAUUGGGGUCUGCA
rnacentral:rRNA from 1 species